GCCAGGCAUGGUGGCACAGAUCUGUAAUCCCAGCCACUUGGGAGGCUGAGGCAAGAGAAUCACAAGAUCAAGGCCAGCCUGGGUGACUUAGUGAGAUCCUGUCUCAA
rnacentral:sRNA from 1 species